rnacentral:lncRNA from 1 species
GCUUAUCGUUAUCGUUUCAAUAAGGUUUCGAUUUUUUCGAUUUCGAUUUAUCGAUUUUGGAGGCUUAUCGAUUCGAUUUAUCGAUAACACCAAUAAGGCACCCUUUCCGUUUUAGUCCAUACCGAAGAAUAUUACAUUAUAUAUUUCAAGACAAUAAUUGUAAACUUCUCAUUUUACUCUUAAUAACAUACUUUUAUAACAUAUAGUGUCACAGAGAUCGUAAAUUCACAAAUUCAGAUACAUAUAACUUUACACACGUCAAGUUUACUUCAAUGCUUUUUAGAGAUGCAGCAUCAUCGAAAUGAGAAGGGAUUUUCCCAAGAUGCUUACAUUUCGUUAAAACCAAAUGUUCAAGCUUAGUUGGGCAGUUCUGCAAUGGUCAACUUAAGAAUCACCAAGUUGGGCAGUUCUGCAAUGGUCGAAAUUUGGGACCAAGGUAAACGAAACUUGGACAAAGUCAAUUCCAUUAGUUGCGAGGGGAAAUUGAACUUGUGAGGAAGUUUACCUGGAUAGCUGUUGGAAACCAGCUUUAAAAAGCUACAGAAUAUAGCAAAUUAGCAAUACAUCCAGCCAAUUUGGAGUUACAGAGUGCAUAUCCUUCUUUUACCCAUUAUAAUUUAUCAACAGCUUAGUCUUUCUUUCAGCAGCAGCAGUAUUCAGCAGCAGACAGCAGCAGAAAGAUCAGCAGCAGCAGUAGGAUUCAGCAGCAGCAGACAGCAAUACAACAACAACAUCAGACAACAAUACAACAACAACAGCAGACAACAAUACAACAUCAACAGCAGACAGCAGCAUUCUGCUUAACAAAAAGAAGAAAGAUCAACAGCUUAACUAAAAGAAGAAAGAAGAAGAAAGAUAAGCAACAGCAGUAGGAUUCAGCAGUAGCAGACAGCAAUACGACAACAACAACAGACAAAAAUACAACAGCAACAGUAGGAUUCAGCACAGAUAGCAGACAGCAGCAUUCAGCAUAUAGCAAAUUAGCAAUACAUCCAGCCAAUCUGGAGUUACAGAGUGCAUAUCCUUCUUUUACCCAUUAUAAUUUAUC